rnacentral:rRNA from 1 species
UACGUAGGGGGCGAGCGUUGUCCGGAAUUAUUGGGCGUAAAGAGCUCGUAGGCGGUGUGUUACGUCGGCCGUGAAAACCUGGGGCUUAACUCUGGGCGUGCGGUCGAUACGGGCAUCACUAGAGUUCGGCAGGGGAGACUGGAAUUCCUGGUGUAGCGGUGAAAUGCGCAGAUAUCAGGAGGAACACCGGUGGCGAAGGCGGGUCUCUGGGCCGAUACUGACGCUGAGGAGCGAAAGCAUGGGUAGCGAACAGG